UAGGGAAUCUUCGGCAAUGGGGGGAACCCUGACCGAGCAACGCCGCGUGAGUGAAGAAGGUUUUCGGAUCGUAAAGCUCUGUUGUUAAGGAAGAACGAGUGUGAGAAUGAAAGUUCAUACUGUGACGGUACUUAACCAGAAAGGGACGGCUAACUACGUGCCAGCAGCCGCGGUAAUACGUAGGUCCCGAGCGUUGUCCGGAUUUAUUGGGCGUAAAGCGAGCGCAGGCGGUUAGAUAAGUCUGAAGUUAAAGGCAGUGGCUCAACCAUUGUAGGCUUUGGAAACUGUUUAACUUGAGUGCAGAAGGGGAGAGUGGAAUUCCAUGUGUAGCGGUGAAAUGCGUAGAUAUAUGGAGGAACACCGGUGGCGAAAGCGGCUCUCUGGUCUGUAACUGACGCUGAGGCUCGAAAGCGUGGGGAGCGAACAGG
rnacentral:rRNA from 1 species